UCAUUAAUUGCCCUUCGUACACCAACUACCAAAUACCAACAAUCUAAACCACGUCGUUUGAUAGACUGAUCCAUAAUAUCAUCUGCCAUUAAAAAGCAACCUUGCAACUGAACAUCCGUCAGUACCCCAGUGAUUUUACGUAAACAAAUCUGAAUUAAAAAACCAGUUUACUUACAAUUUCAAUUAGCCAACCUAGGAGAGCAGCGUCGCGAAAUUCUGCUUCUUCAAGUUCUCGAUUAAUAAGGCUUGUUAAAGAUUGCAAAACUGCCAGUCCUCGAUUAUUCUUUCCUCCUAACGUAUUUCUCU